CUCCUCACCCAGUAACAGAGUCCCAAACACAAUCAGUGCCUUGGCUUGGAAAAGCAGAAUUCCAUGGAAUGAAGGAACCUCCAACUCCUCCCAAAACUCCCAGGAAAGGAACAACCAUUCCUUAUAAACUCAAUCACUGUCUUGGUUUGAAAAAGAAGAACUUCCACAGAAAGAAGGAACCUCUGACUCCUCCCAGAACUCCCAGGAACAAUUCCUCACCCAAUAACUGAAUCCCAAACUCCAUCACUGUUUUAGCUUAGAAAAUCAGAAUUCCAUUGAAUGAACGAUCAUCUUACUCCUCCCAGGAGCAACCAGGGAAGGAACAACCACUCCUCACCCAGUAACAGAGUCCCAAACACAAUCAGUGCCUUGGCUUGGAAAAGCAGAAUUCCAUGGAAUGAAGGAACCUCCAUCUCCUCCCAAAACUCCCAUGAACAAGAAUUCCUCACCCAGUUACAGAACUGGGAAAGGCAAUUCCCGAGUUAAGGCACACCCAGGGAUGUUCAGUUCAUCAGCUCAUCCUUCACAGGCACGACCAUGAAAAGGGAGGCACAAACCAGGUUUGGGCAGGAUUUAAAAUCGGUUUAGGACACAAAAUUCAUGGAAUUGCAGAGCACAAAGUCUUGGGUUUUUUAUCCCAAAACUGAGGAAUCAACCCCAUGUCUUCAGGUCUCCCAGCAGCACCAAUUCCCUGUGCAGGGAAGCGGGAAAAAAAUUACGAGUGGAAAACAUGAGUGAAAAUGGAGUUAUGGAGUUUCUGCACCCCCAGACUGCCCAGAAACCAAGGAGAAACCAACCACAGAAUGGAUCCUCACUUCUCAAUGGUCCGAAAAUCUGGGAUAAAACUCCAGCAGCAACCAGAGGAAGGAACAACCACUCCUCACCCAGUAACAGAACCCCAAACACAAUCAGUGCCUUGGCUUGGAAAAGCAGAAUUCCAUGGAAUGAACGAUCCGACUCCUCCCAAAUGUCCCAGGAACAACCAGGGAAGGAAGAACCAUUGAGGAAUGGUUGUAACAUUAACAGAACAGAACGAGAAUUCCAAACUCAAUCACUGCCUUGGUUUGGAAAAGCAGGAUUCCAUGGAAUGAAGGAACCUCCAACUCCUCCCAAAACUCCCAGGAGCAACAAUUCCUCACCCAGUAACAGAAUUCCAAACUCAAUCACUGCCUUGGUUUGGAAAAGCAGGAUUCCAUGGAAUGAAGGAACCUCCAACUCCUCCC
rnacentral:lncRNA from 1 species